GACAGAGGGUGCAAACGUUGUUCGGAAUUACUGGGCGUAAAGGGCGCGUAGGCGGCCUGCUAAGUCGAACGUGAAAUCCCCGGGCUCAACCCGGGAACUGCGUCCGAUACUGGCAGGCUUGAAUCCGGGAGAGGGAUGUGGAAUUCCAGGUGUAGCGGUGAAAUGCGUAGAUAUCUGGAGGAACACCGGUGGCGAAGGCGGCAUCCUGGACCGGUAUUGACGCUGAUGCGCGAAAGCCAGGGGAGCCAAACGGG
rnacentral:rRNA from 1 species